AGAGUUUGAUCCUGGCUCAGGAUGUACGCUGGCGGCGUGCUUAACACAUGCAAGUCGAACGAAGCACUCUAUUUGAUUUCCUUCGGGACUGAUUAUUUUGUGACUGAGUGGCGGACGGGUGAGUAACGCGUGGGUAACCUGCCUUGUACAGGGGGAUAACAGUUGGAAACGGCUGCUAAUACCGCAUAAGCGCACGGCAUCGCAUGAUGCAGUGUGAAAAACUCCGGUGGUAUAAGAUGGACCCGCGUUGGAUUAGCUAGUUGGUGAGGUAACGGCCCACCAAGGCGACGAUCCAUAGCCGACCUGAGAGGGUGACCGGCCACAUUGGGACUGAGACACGGCCCAAACUCCUACGGGAGGCAGCAGUGGGGAAUAUUGCACAAUGGGCGAAAGCCUGAUGCAGCGACGCCGCGUGAGCGAAGAAGUAUUUCGGUAUGUAAAGCUCUAUCAGCAGGGAAGAUAAUGACGGUACCUGACUAAGAAGCACCGGCUAAAUACGUGCCAGCAGCCGCGGUAAUACGUAUGGUGCAAGCGUUAUCCGGAUUUACUGGGUGUAAAGGGAGCGCAGGCGGUGCGGCAAGUCUGAUGUGAAAGCCCGGGGCUCAACCCCGGUACUGCAUUGGAAACUGUCGUACUAGAGUGUCGGAGGGGUAAGCGGAAUUCCUAGUGUAGCGGUGAAAUGCGUAGAUAUUAGGAGGAACACCAGUGGCGAAGGCGGCUUACUGGACGAUAACUGACGCUGAGGCUCGAAAGCGUGGGGAGCAAACAGGAUUAGAUACCCUGGUAGUCCACGCCGUAAACGA
rnacentral:rRNA from 1 species